CACAGCAGCACAUCUUCCUCCUACCGCUUCCGUCAGUUAUAGCGCGUCAUGACUGUAGCACCAAAGUUUGCGUUGGCGGGCGGCGCAACAAUCGAUCAUGGUUUUUAAUCUCCCGUGUGUUAUUUUUAGUCUUGCGAUGGAUAUCCUUUAAGAUGUAAGUGUGAGUGGGAUGCAGGACAGUAGAGCGGUGAAUUAUGCCGUUGCCAUGAGAGUGGACUGAUCGAGGCACUUUUAAAGGUGGCCACAGAGAUGGAGAGUCCUUCUAAGAUCGAGAGGCGACAAGCGUGGGCAAGCAGCCGCCACAAGUUUACCGUAAGAGAUGCAGAACACCGCAGCCCAACAGCAGAACAUCAGUCUCAUUUCUCUCUCCAAGAUGAUGUCUUUGUGGAUGGAUGCUCUGCUGGAAAAAUUGAAACCUGGCUUCAAGGUUGUGGGAAUGAAGCCAGUCAUGCCAAAAGCAGUCACCUAACAAUAGGCCCUUUGAGGACAGGUACCAGCUUUGAGGAUGAUCUGACUCUGGGUGCGGAAGCUACUGCAUUAUAUUAUGCAUCAGGUGCACCACAGUUUAGCAGCACACCUCAACAGAAGCUCAACCUGUCAUUAUUCAGCAUGGGCCAGAGUGUCGCAUCCAGUGCCUUCUCAACCACUACAAACAGGACUGUUUCCAGCGUGUCUGAGGUCCUCCAAAUGCGUGCUGAAGAUGCAGAAGAGACACUUUUCCAGCUGGGUUUCGGUUGCGAGGAACCGCAGGUCACUGCCCGUAUCCCAGUUCGCUUCUUCAAUUUCCCAUCCCAGCUCAGAGGCAUCAACUUCCGCCUCUUUCUUGAAUCCCAGCUCUCCAGGAUACGCCAGGAAGACCCCUGUCUUUCAUUAGCAAGUCGUUUCCGACAAGUAGAAGCAUUGACGGCAAUGGCCAAUGCCUUCUAUUCGCUGUACUCCCAUGUGUCCCGAACACCUCUUCAGAAGCUUGCACCGCCCCAGUUAACCUUCACCUCCCCAAUUGUGGAGAGGACUUUGUCUCGAACCAGUGUCCGCAGUGAACCGCGCUCCCCUGUUGAAAGACUAAAAGACACUAUCUCCAAAAUGUGUUUAUACACGGGAUCCCGUGGCUCGGACUCCACGUCUCCAAGCAAUUCACCUCGUAAGCGUAAAUGCAGUCUGUCAGGUGUAGUUGAGAAGAGUGCAGAAGAUGACAAUGAAGAGUUAUGUCUUCAAAUGGAAGUAGAUGAUCUGGACCCAGACUUGGACUGGUUUAUAGAGAGCAAGAAAGAACUUGAGGAGGAGACGUAUGGGGAAAACACCGAAAGGACUGAUUCCUCAGAGCGUAUGCCUUGUCAGUCGCUAUCCGAGACGACAAAUGAAAAUGUACACAACCUCAGGCAUACAUUAGCAGAGUGUGCACCUUGCCUAGAGCCAAAAACGGACAUGGACGUGAAUUCCAAAGGUUGUAGUCUGCAUUCUGUGCUUUCUAAUAGCUCCAGCGUUACCGUGGAACCUGUUCCUAUCAUUGCCCAUGAUAUCAUAUGCCCUCAGGUUGUUGAAUAUGUGAAUCAGGCACCUUAUCACUGCAUACACACAAAUAGUAUGGAUAUCAAAAACUCACCAUUUACACACCAGACGACUAAAAAGCCUUCUGUAAGACAACCUAAUGCAAAGAAUUUACCCAAGUCAGAUCAGUUAUGUCAGAUCACAAUAUCUGGAUGGGAGGACGGCACCACCCGCUCCAACAGAGACACACAGGAACAGAGUUCAUCCAACAUCAAGAGGUUUAUAAGCCCGGUAAAACCACUAAACCUGAGCAAACAAGGCAACUCCUUCGAGCUGGAAGAGGUUGAAGUACAUAGUGAAUGGACGGACUUACUACAGGUUGCAGUACAUUACUAGUGACCAGACUGACUUACUACAGGUUCACAGUGCAGAGGAAGAGGAAGCCACUUCAUCAGAAUUCUGCUCCACAGUCACAUUGUCUGUUUCGGCGCAUCACCACAAAUCGUCACCACUGCGAGGGGACAGUUUUCAGUCAGACAGCAGUGGAUAUGCUGACGAGGAUGUGCACCAUUCCCUCUUAACCCCAGAGAAAACAUAACAUCAAAUCUCAGGCUAAUGAAGCACAAACUGUGUCUACUAAUAUUCUCCAAAUCAACAUGAAAUGGUGUUUGCGGUCUUUCUAAGCGGAUUUGUCCAUCAGGAAUGAUUUUAUCUUUGGAAUAGCUUGCACAGAUAAGUCAUGCACAAUAAGACCAGGAGCAUGUAUGAUUGUUGCUUUUAUGUUACUCUAAUGUGAAACCAGCAGCCUAGAACGAUGCAUAUAAUCUGGUUUUGAAAUAGUAUGUGUUCUCAUUUUGUGCACUUUUUGGUCUUCUUGUUCAAAUGGAUUACCUGCUGUACAUACUGCCUUUAUUUGUCAUUGCACAAUGGUAAUAAAUAAUUUAUUUAAGC